CUACUUGCUCUGCUCUUGCUCCUUUCUGCUUGCUCUUGCUCCUUUCUGCUUGCUCUUGCUCGUCUCUACUUGCUUUGCUCCUCUCUACUUGCUCUGCGCUGCCUCCUCUCUGCUUGCUCUGGUCCUCUCUGUUUGCUCUUCUCCUGCACACAUAUUGCCUAAUACAUACAUACCCAUACACGCACACUGCCUAAUGCAUACAUCCAUACACACAUACUGCCCAAUACAUACAUUUAUACACACAUAUUGCCUGAAACAUACAUCUAUACACAC